rnacentral:rRNA from 1 species
GUGGGGAAUCUUAGACAAUGGGGGAAACCCUGAUCUAGCCAUGCCGCGUGAGCGAUGAAGGCCUUAGGGUUGUAAAGCUCUUUCAGCUGGGAAGAUAAUGACGGUACCAGCAGAAGAAGCCCCGGCUAACUCCGUGCCAGCAGCCGCGGUAAUACGGAGGGGGCUAGCGUUGUUCGGAAUUACUGGGCGUAAAGCGCGCGUAGGCGGACCAGAAAGUUGGAGGUGAAAUCCCAGGGCUCAACCUUGGAACUGCCUUCAAAACUCCUGGUCUGGAGGUCGAGAGAGGUGAGUGGAAUUCCGAGUGUAGAGGUGAAAUUCGUAGAUAUUCGGAGGAACACCAGUGGCGAAGGCGGCUCACUGGCUCGAUACUGACGCUGAGGUGCGAAAGCGUGGGGAGCAAACAGGAUUAGAAACCCGAGUAGUCC